AUAUGGUAUCAGAGCUU
rnacentral:sRNA from 1 species